UAUUUCACAAUGGGCGCAAGCCUGAUGCAGCCAUGCCCCGUGUAUGAAGAAGGCCUUCGGGUUGUAAAGUACUUUCAGCGGGGAGGAAGGGAGUAAAGUUAAUACCUUUGCUCAUUGACGUUACCCGCAGAAGAAGCACCGUCUAACUCCGUGCCAGCAGCCGCGGUAAUACGGAGGGUGCCAGCGUUAAUCGGACUUCAUGGGCGUAAAGCGCACGCAGGCGGUUUGUUAAGUCAGAUGUGAAAUCCCCGGGCUCAACCUGGGAACUGCAUCUGAUACUGGCAAGCUUGAGUCUCGUAGAGGGGGGCAGAAUUCCAGGUGUAGCGGUGAAAUGCGUAGAGAUCUGGAGGAAUACCGGUGGCGAAGGCGGCCCCCUGGACGAAGACUGACGCUCAGGUGCGAAAGCGUGGGGAGCAAACAG
rnacentral:rRNA from 1 species